rnacentral:tRNA from 1 species
AGAAAAUGGUGUAAUGGAAGCACGAAGGGUUUUGAUCUCUUUUGUACAGGUUCAAGUUCUGUUUUUCUAA